rnacentral:lncRNA from 1 species
ACUUGAGUAGGACACCUAGGAUGCAGCUGCUGUGUGUUUUUCCAAUUUACAAGGACAAUCAUGAGGGAAAGAGCACUGUGUUGGGAGCCUAAAGAUGUGGCUCCCUGCCACCAACCACUUAUGCAAACUUUGGCAAUCAGAUGGAGUUUCACUCUUGUUGCCCAGACUGGAGUGCUAUGGCAUGAUCUUGGCUCACUGCAACCUCCACUUCCCAGGUUCAAGCAAUUCUCCUUCCUCAGCCUCCCAAGUAGCUGGGAUUACAGGCACUCGCCACCAUACCCAGCUAAUUUUUUGUAUUUCUAGUAGAGAUAAGGUUUCACCAUGUUGGUCAGGCUGGUCUCAAACUCCUGACCUCAGGUGAUCCACUCGCCUUGGCCUCCCAAAGUGCUGGGAUUACAGACAUGAGCCACCGUACCCAGCCUACGGUCUCUUUUAUAAGGGCUCUAAUCCCAUUCACGAAAUCUCCACCUUCAUGAUCUAAUCACCUCCCAAAUGCUGCACCUCCUAAAACCAUAGCAUUGGGGAUUUGGAAUUUGAUGUAUGAAUUUCAAGGAGACACAAACAUUCAGACCAUGACAAUAAUACUUAAUAAAUACUGGU